rnacentral:rRNA from 1 species
AGCGAACGCUGGCGGCAGGCUUAACACAUGCCAGUCGAGCGGGCAUCUUCGGAUGUCAGCGGCAGACGGGUGAGUAACACGUGGGAACGUACCCUUCGGUUCGGAACAACUCUGGGAAACUGGAGCUAAUACCGGAUACGCCCUUAUGGGGAAAGGUUUACUGCCGAAGGAUCGGCCCGCGUCUGAUUAGCUAGUUGGUGGGGUAACGGCCUACCAAGGCGACGAUCAGUAGCUGGUCUGAGAGGAUGAUCAGCCACACUGGGACUGAGACACGGCCCAGACUCCUACGGGAGGCAGCAGUGGGGAAUAUUGGACAAUGGGCGCAAGCCUGAUCCAGCCAUGCCGCGUGAGUGAUGAAGGCCUUAGGGUUGUAAAGCUCUUUUGUCCGGGACGAUAAUGACGGUACCGGAAGAAUAAGCCCCGGCUAACUUCGUG